CUCUGUGGCGCGGCUUCACUUCACUUCAGUCUUCAGUGCAGUAUGGCAGACGAAUUCGUGUUCGGCAUGAUAAAAGAUUCCAAAUGCCGGAGUUAAUUGACACAUUCAGAGAUGAUGAUGACGAUGGUGCCACUAAUUGGCUGAAGCACAACACUGGUCCGCAGGACAUUUUAGCUAAAAAAUGAAGCAACCAGCACACAAGAGGAAACAAUGGAUUAAGGAGGAUAAUCCUAAUACUGCAGCCAUAUUUCAGAAGUAUCCCAGGUUACUGGACACAGGCAUGGUGGAACAAGAUUUUGAGGUUACAUUGAACGAGAAUCCUGAUGCUCUUUUUAAGUCAUGGCCCCGAACAGCACAAGGCAUUGCAAGUUAUGUAGAAAAGACGCACCUAGGAUACAAGGAUACUCUGA